UCUCUGAUAGGUUAGCGGCGGACGGGUGAGUAACACGUAGGCAACCUGCCCUCAAGUUUGGGACAACUACCGGAAACGGUAGCUAAUACCGAAUAGUUGUUUUCUUCGCCUGAAGAGAACUGGAAAGACGGAGCAAUCUGUCACUUGGGGAUGGGCCUGCGGCGCAUUAGCUAGUUGGUGGGGUAACGGCUCACCAAGGCGACGAUGCGUAGCCGACCUGAGAGGGUGAUCGGCCACACUGGGACUGAGACACGGCCCAGACUCCUACGGGAGGCAGCAGUAGGGAAUCUUCCGCAAUGGGCGAAAGCCUGACGGAGCAAUGCCGCGUGAGUGAUGAAGGUUUUCGGAUCGUAAAGCUCUGUUGCCAGGGAAGAACGCUUGGGAGAGUAACUGCUCU
rnacentral:rRNA from 1 species